CCGUAACUAUAACGGUCCUAAGGUAGCGAAAUUCCUUGUCGGGUAAGUUCCGACCCGCACGAAAGGCGUAAUGAUUUGAGCGCUGUCUCGACAAUGCACCCGGUGAAAUUGAAGUACCAGUGAAGAUGCUGGUUACCUGCGCCAGGACGGAAAGACCCCAUGGAGCUUUACUCCAGCUUGAUACUGGGAUUCGGUAUUGCAUGUACAGGAUAGGUGGGAGGCUUUGAAUCAUGGACGCCAGUCUGUGAGGAGCCGCUGUUGGGAUACCACCCUUGUGUGACUGGGUUUCUAACCUGCAUCCGUGAACCGGAUGGGGGACAAUGUCAGGCGGGGAGUUUGACUGGGGCGGUCGCCUCCGAAAGGGUAUCGGAGGCGCUCAAAGGUUCCCUCAGAAUGGUUGGAAACCAUUCGAAGAGUGCAAAGGCAGAAGGGAGCUUGACUGCGACACCGACGGGUGGAGCAGGUACGAAAGUAGGACUUAGUGAUCCGGUGGUAUAAAGUGGGAUUGCCAUCGCUCAACGGAUAAAAGCUACCCUGGGGAUAACAGGCUUAUCACUCCCAAGAGUUCACAUCGACGGAGUGGUUUGGCACCUCGAUGUCGGCUCAUCGCAUCCUGGGGCUGUAGUAGGUCCCAAGGGUUGGGCUGUUCGCCCAUUAAAGCGGUACGCGAGCUGGGUUCAGAACGUCGUGAGACAGUUCGGUCCCUAUCCGGCGUGGGCGUAGGAUAUUUGAGAGGAGCUGUCCUUAGUACGAGAGGACCGGGAUGGACGCAUCAAUGGUGGACCAGUUGUCACGCCAGUGGCAUAGCUGGGUAGCUAAAUGCGGAAGGGAUAAACGCUGAAGGCAUCUAAGCGUGAAGCCCCCCUCAAGAUGAGAUAUCCCAUUCGAAAGAAGUAAGACCCCUUGAAGACGACGAGGUAGAUAGGUCAGAGGUGGAAGUGCAGCAAUGCAUGGAGCUGACUGAUACUAAUCGGUCGAGGGCUUGACCAG
rnacentral:rRNA from 1 species